GGAAAGCAGUGUCCUGAGAGUAAGACUGUAUAAUAAUAAGGAAGAAGAAAUAUUUUGGACAUACAACAUAUCAACUCACAGCCAAUGGGUGAAAGCAGAUGUGUUAAUACCAGAAGAUCUGAAGACAUUUAAGAUUAUUUUUGAAGGGACUCUUUAGAGCCAGAGAAGUUUUAUUGCCCUUGAUCACCUCUGGGUCUAUGCCUGUGGACAGACCCAAUCCAGAAAGCUUUGCUCUGAAGAUGAAUUCCCUUGCACUAGUGGCCAGUGCGUCGCCAAAGAAUCUGUCUGUGACUCUCGGCAGGACUGCUCCGAUGAGAGUGAUGAAGACCCAGCAACUUGCUCAGACUCCAUGGACCAGAGCAUCAGCAUUACCUGGGAACUUAGUGGAAAUGCAGAACCUCAGGCCCUGGCCCAGCCUUACGGAACCAAAAGCUACAUGGAACAAGGUCCCAGCAAAGCAUCUCGCCUGUGACUUUGAGUCGGGUUUCUGCGGUUGGGAGCCAUUUCUCACAGAAGAUUCACACUGGAAGCUGAUGAAAGGAUUGAAUAAUGGAGAGCACCACUUUCCUGCAGCUGAUCACACAGCAAACAUAAAUCAUGGUAGGACAUUAUCCUCUUUAAAAAA